UAAAUGAAUUUAUUUUCUUAUACCAAGUAUAAUCUUCCAUAUAUUUUUUAAUAUAUCCUAUUUAACUUUACAUUAUUUCAUUUUCAAUACCGGAGCUGCGUGACUUUUACUUCCACGGCAAACGAAUAGUAGGAGCCUGAGGCAGGAAGGCAGGAUUCACAAAUCACAAAUCAGAAGAACAGAAGAAAGAUGAUAGGGAGAUUCUGGUGUCUGGGCACAGGGCCUGUUAUCAUUCUCGGCGGCGUGGCUGCUGUCAUCACAGCCGCUACAUUUGCCCUAACUAAUGAUUAUCCUUUCAAGGACAAGGGACAGAAACAGCAAGAGAAGCCAAAAUCAUGACCUGAGGUGCUGAAGUUUGAUUAAAAAAUGCAGUUACAGACUUCUUACCAUCCUUUGUCAAGUGUUUACAUAUCUCGUUUUCUUUAAUAAUGCAUAUUGAGAACUAUGCUAGAAUUGGAAGUUAAAGCCUUUUGUAAUUUGAAGUCUGAUAUCUCUGCUACUAUGUCUGAAUCUUAUAUGAAAUACUGGUGUAGACAUGGAAUAGGUGAGUUAUUAUUUGUUAUGAUAUGAUGGCCCUUCAUUGUGCUAAACUUAUUGAAAACUUGGACAGAGAAAAACAUUGGAAAGCAUAGGCAAUAUGAUAUUUUGUGGGAA